rnacentral:rRNA from 1 species
GUUAAGCGACUAAGCGUACACGGUGGAUGCCCUGGCAGUCAGAGGCGAUGAAGGACGUGCUAAUCUGCGAUAAGCGUCGGUAAGGUGAUAUGAACCGUUAUAACCGGCGAUUUCCGAAUGGGGAAACCCAGUGUGAUUUGUCACACUAUCAUUAACUGAAUCCAUAGGUUAAUGAGGCGAACCGGGGGAACUGAAACAUCUAAGUACCCCGAGGAAAAGAAAUCAACCGAGAUUCCCCCAGUAGCGGCGAGCGAACGGGGAGCAGCCCAGAGCCUGAAUCAGUGUGUGUGUUAGUGGAAGCGUCUGGAAAGGCGCGCGAUACAGGGUGACAGCCCCGUACACAAAAAUGCACAUACUGUGAGCUCGAUGAGUAGGGCGGGACACGUGGUAUCCUGUCUGAAUAUGGGGGGACCAUCCUCCAAGGCUAAAUACUCCUGACUGACCGAUAGUGAACCAGUACCGUGAGGGAAAGGCGAAAAGAACCCCGGCGAGGGGAGUGAAAAAGAACCUGAAACCGUGUACGUACAAGCAGUGGGAGCCUCUUUAUGGGGUGACUGCGUACCUUUUGUAUAAUGGGUCAGCGACUUAUAUUCUGUAGCAAGGUUAACCGAAUAGGGGAGCCGAAGGGAAACCGAGUCUUAACUGGGCGUUAAGUUGCAGGGUAUAGACCCGAAACCCGGUGAUCUAGCCAUGGGCAGGUUGAAGGUUGGGUAACACUAACUGGAGGACCGAACCGACUAAUGUUGAAAAAUUAGCGGAUGACUUGUGGCUGGGGGUGAAAGGCCAAUCAAACCGGGAGAUAGCUGGUUCUCCCCGAAAGCUAUUUAGGUAGCGCCUCGUGAACUCAUCUCCGGGGGUAGAGCACUGUUUCGGCAAGGGGGUCAUCCCGACUUACCAACCCGAUGCAAACUGCGAAUACCGGAGAAUGUUAUCACGGGAGACACACGGCGGGUGCUAACGUCCGUCGUGAAGAGGGAAACAACCCAGACCGCCAGCUAAGGUCCCAAAGUCAUGGUUAAGUGGGAAACGAUGUGGGAAGGCCCAGACAGCCAGGAUGUUGGCUUAGAAGCAGCCAUCAUUUAAAGAAAGCGUAAUAGCUCACUGGUCGAGUCGGCCUGCGCGGAAGAUGUAACGGGGCUAAACCAUGCACCGAAGCUGCGGCAGCGACACUAUGUGUUGUUGGGUAGGGGAGCGUUCUGUAAGCCUGCGAAGGUGUGCUGUGAGGCAUGCUGGAGGUAUCAGAAGUGCGAAUGCUGACAUAAGUAACGAUAAAGCGGGUGAAAAGCCCGCUCGCCGGAAGACCAAGGGUUCCUGUCCAACGUUAAUCGGGGCAGGGUGAGUCGACCCCUAAGGCGAGGCCGAAAGGCGUAGUCGAUGGGAAACAGGUUAAUAUUCCUGUACUUGGUGUUACUGCGAAGGGGGGACGGAGAAGGCUAUGUUGGCCGGGCGACGGUUGUCCCGGUUUAAGCGUGUAGGCUGGUUUUCCAGGCAAAUCCGGAAAAUCAAGGCUGAGGCGUGAUGACGAGGCACUACGGUGCUGAAGCAACAAAUGCCCUGCUUCCAGGAA